UACGUAGGGGGCAAGCGUUGUCCGGAUUUAUUGGGCGUAAAGAGCGUGUAGGCGGCCUGAUAGGUCGGUUGUGAAAACUGGAGGCUUAACCUUCAGACGUCGGCCGAAACCAUCUGGCUAGAGUCCGGAAGAGGAGAGUGGAAUUCCUGGUGUAGCGGUGAAAUGCGUAGAUAUCUGGAGGAACACCGGUGGCGAAGGCGGCAUCCUGGACCGGUAUUGACGCUGAGGCGCGAAAGCUAGGGGAGCAAACGGG
rnacentral:rRNA from 1 species